GCUCGUGAGCCGUCAUAGGUAAUACACCUAGGAGAGCAAACUCCGAACAAUAAACCCGGGCAGGUUGGGCUCGUGAGCCGUCAUAGGUAAUACACCUAGGAGAGCAAACUCCGAACAAUAAACCCGGGCAGGUUGGGCUCGUGAGCCGUCAUAGGUAAUACACCUAGGAGAGCAAACUCCGAUUACAAACCCGGGCAGGUUGGGCUCGUGAGCCGUCAUAGGUAAUACACCUAGGAGAGCAAACUCCGAACAAUAAACCCGGGCAGGUUGGGCUCGUGAGCCGUCAUAGGUAAUACACCUAGGAGAGCAAACUCCGAACAAUAAACCCGGGCAGGUGGAGCUCGUCAGCCGUGGUAGGCAGUCUGCCUAGGAGAGCAAACUCCGAACAAUAAACCCGGGCAGGUGGAGCUCGUCAGCCGUGGUAGGCAGUCUGCCUAGGAGAGCAAACUCCGAACAAUAAACCGGGGCUUGUGGUGCUCGUUAGAUGUCGUAGACAAUCCACGUGAUGGGAACACCAAAGAAAAGGAAAAUAAAAAGGAACACCUGAAAAAGGAAAAUAUAGUAACAAAACAUCAAGAAAAUAAAAUAAAAAACACAGAUCAUCCACCUUCAGGCCCUAACAUCUCCAAAAUUAUGGGUGAGUCUUUUCUGGGGAGAAAGAGGCUCAUCCAGACCAAAGAACAUCAAAAAGGGAUGAUAUAGAAAGAUACACCAAAAAAAUGGGAAAAAGAGAAAAAAACAUCGCAAAAGAAAAGUAACAACAAUAACAGAACAACGUCAAGAAAAGUAACAUACAAAGAAACAUCAUCCACCAUUCGGCCCCAAACUAACAUCACCAAAAUUAUGGGUGGGUCUCUUCUGGGAGGAAAGCGGCUCACCCAGACCAACGAAGAACAUCAACAAGAGGAUGAUAUGAAAUAAAAGAACAUUAAAAAACACG